UACGGAGGGUGCGAGCGUUGUCCGGAAUCAUUGGGCGUAAAGGGCGCGUAGGUGGCCCGGUCAGUUCGUGGUGAAAGCGCGGGGCUCAACCCUGCGUCGGCCAUGAAUACUGCCGCGGCUGGAGCACUGUAGAGGCAGGCGGAAUUCCGGGUGUAGCGGUGGAAUGCGUAGAGAUCCGGAAGAACACCGGUGGCGAAGGCGGCCUGCUGGGCAGUUGCUGACACUGAUGCGCGACAGCGUGGGGAGCAAACAGG
rnacentral:rRNA from 1 species